rnacentral:ncRNA from 1 species
GCAUAGGGAGUGGGACAGAAAUGAUAUUUUCGCAAAAUAUAUUUCGUCGUCCCACCCCAACUCGCAUUGCCUGUAGAAUUUCUUUUCGAAAUUCUCUGUGUUGGGGCCCACACCCCAACUUGCACAUUAUUGUAAGCUGACUUUUCGUCAGCUUCUGUGUUGGGGCCCCUGACUAGAAUUGAAAAAAGCUUGUUACAAGCGCAUUUUCGUUCAGUCAACUACUGCCAAUAUAACUUCGUUGAGUAUAGAAUAUUGAUUU